rnacentral:lncRNA from 1 species
UUUUUCUGCUGCGAUAUUGGAAGAAAAUGUCCAUGAUCCUCAUGGUUCGAGGGAAGUGCAACAAUCUAACCAGGAUGUGUCUCAGUGACUGGCCUCUAUUUCCUUUUCUGGAUAAAGGUACAUACCCAGGAACAUCGAAACAUAUGUCCCUGCAAAAACAUGUACAGGAAUGAUCACAGCAGCAAUACUCACAAUAGUCAAAAAGUGGAGACAAUCCAAAUGUCCAUGCACUGACAAAACGAUAAACGUGUGGCAUACCCAUAUCCACAUGACGGAGUGUCAUCAGCUGUAAGGAGGAAUGACGUUCUGGUAGGCUGUGUGAAAGAAGCCAGACGCAAAGGCCACAUGGGUCACUCCACGCAUAUGAAGUUUCCGCGACAGGCAGAGCUAUGGACACAGUACAUGGAUUCCUGGUUGCCUAGGGCUGGGGGCGGGGGCGACUAGGGGCAAGUGGGGAGUGACUGCUAUGGGGAGAGGGCAUUUCUCAGAGGUGAGAAAGGUCUCUGAAUAUUGCUUGUGAUGGUGGUUGCACAACUUUGAGAAUAUACUAAAAUUCAUUGAAUUAUAUGCACUAAAUGGGUGAACUUUCUCCAUGAAUUGUAUACACUAAAUGGAUGAACUUUCUCCAUGAAUUGUAUACACUAAAUGGGUGAACUUUCUCAUUAAAUUAUAUGCACUAAACGGCUGAACUUUCUCAUUGAAUUAUAUACACUAAAUGGGUGAACUUUCUCAAUGAACUGUAUACACUAAAUGGGUGAACUUUCUCACUGAAUUGUAUACACUAAACGGGUGAACUUUCUCAUUGAAUUAUAUGCACUAAAUGGGUGAACUUUCUCAAUGAACUGUAUACACUAAAUGGGUGAACUUUCUCACUGAAUUGUAUACACUAAACGGGUGAACUUUGUCAUUGAAUUAUAUACAGUAAAUGGGUGAACUUUCUCAUUGAAUUAUAUACACUAAACGGGUGAACUUUCUCACUGAAUUGUAUACACUAAAUGGGUGAACUUUCUCACUGAAUCGUAUACACUAAAUGGGUGAACUUUAUGGCACAUGGAUUGUAUCUCAAUAAAGCUGUUGAAAACUUUAAA